ACCAGAAAGGGACGGCUAACUACGUGCCAGCAGCCGCGGUAAUACGUAGGUCCCGAGCGUUGUCCGGAUUUAUUGGGCGUAAAGCGAGCGCAGGCGGUUUGAUAAGUCUGAAGCUAAAGGCUGUGGCUCAACCAUAGUUCGCUUUGGAAACUGUCAAACUUGAGUGCAGAAGGGGAGAGUGGGAUUCCAUGUGUAGCGGUGAAAUGCGUAGAUAUAUGGAGGAACACCGGUGGCGAAAGCGGCUCUCUGGUCUGUAACUGGCGCUGAGGCUCGAAAGCGUGGGGAGCGAACAGGAUUAGAUACCCUGGUAGUCCACGCCGUAAACGAUGAGUGCUAGGUGUUGGAUCCUUUCCGGGAUUCAGUGCCGCAGCUAACGCAUUAAGCACUCCGCCUGGGGAGUACGACCGCAAAGGUUGAAACUCAAAGGAAUUGACGGGGGCCCGCACAAGCGGCGGAGCAUGCGGAUUAAUUCGUCGACGCGGCCG
rnacentral:rRNA from 1 species